rnacentral:lncRNA from 1 species
AAUGAAUCUCAUUCUUACUAAUACAUGGAGAGUGGAUUGGAGGCCAGAGUGGAAGUAGAGACCAGUUGAAAAGGCAGUAAUAAUGUUUGGAGUUGGUCGGAGAAGACCCUUUCCCAUUCUCUUUUGCUCCAGACCUUCCCAAAACGCAACCACUCAAGUUUUACAGGGUAAUUUUGGAGAAUGUCCCAUGUAUCCAAGAAUGUGUUUUCUGCAGCUGCUGCAUAAAAUGUGUUGGUGCAAACAAAACAUGUCUGCGGUGGUCAACAGAAAGGCAAAUUAUUCCUGGAUGGAAUCGAUAAAAUUUGGAGGUAGAUAAAAAUGCAAUGCAGAUAUAAAAACUGAGUCCCUGCUGUAUUGGCGAGUUCUGUAGAAUUAAUGUUAACGUUAUAAAAUUAGUUCCAAAAUUUAAUAAAAGCCUGAACUUAUGAUGUUAAAGAUUAGUCACUGAUCAUACUGUUAAUAUUUUAACAAAAAAUUCUAAUAAUUGAAUAUUUCUCUUUUGUACCAAUAAGUAUGUAAUCUGUUGUCAUUGCCUAUUUGUGUUACUUUAGCCACAUAUUGUAAUUAAAUAUGCUAGAAAUAAUCUUCACCAUAAUAUUAAUACUAUUUCUCCUAAUCCUCAAUCCAAAUGACAACUUAAAACUUUCCC